rnacentral:rRNA from 1 species
AUGAACGCUGGCGGCGUGCCUCAUACAUGCACGUCGAGCGAACAGACGAGGAGCUUGCUCCUCUGACGUUAGCGGCGGACGGGUGAGUAACACGUGGAUAACCUACCUAUAAGACUGGGAUAACUUCGGGAAACCGGAGCUAAUACCGGAUAAUAUAUUGAACCGCAUGGUUCAAUAGUGAAAGACGGUUUUGCUGUCACUUAUAGAUGGAUCCGCGCCGCAUUAGCUAGUUGGUAAGGUAACGGCUUACCAAGGCAACGAUGCGUAGCCGACCUGAGAGGGGUACCGCCCAACAUGGAACGUGACACCGGCCCAGACCCCCAGGGGGGGCCGCAGUAGGGAAUUUUCCGAAAGGGGGGAAAGCCUGACGGAGCACCGCCGCGGGAGUGAUGAAGGUUUUGGGACUGAAAAACUCUUUUAUUGGGGAAAAAAAAAUUUGAAAGUAACUAUGCACGUCUUGACGGAACCUAAUCAGAAAGCCACGGCUAACUACGU